rnacentral:rRNA from 1 species
UUAAUGUGGGCCAUUAGCUCAGUUGGUUAGAGCGCCCGGCUCAUAACCGGUAGGUCUGGGGUUCGAGUCCCUGAUGGCCCACCACAUUAAAUUAAUUAAUAUAAAUUCGAGGUGUAGCGCAGUUUGGUAGCGCACAUGGUUUGGGACCAUGGGGCCGGGGGUUCGAGUCCCUUCACCUCGACCAAUAUAAGGUGGGUAUAGCUCAGUUGGUUAGAGCGCCAGAUUGUGGCUCUGGAGGUCGUGAGUUCGACUCUCAUUAUCCACCCCAAUUCAUAUGGUCUAUUAGCUCAGUCGGUAGAGCACCUGACUUUUAAUCAGGGUGUCCCGCGUUCGAGUCGCGGAUAGAUCACCAAAAAGGUGGCGACAUAGCCAAGUGGUAAGGCAGUGGACUGCAACUCCUUGAUCCCCAGUUCGAAUCUGGGUGUCGCCUCCAAAAUAUUCCAAGGUAGCUCAACGGUGGAGCAACCGGCUGUUAACCGGUAGGCUGUGGGUUCGAGCCCCACCCUUGGAGCCAAAAAAGCCGAAGUGGCGGAACUGGCAGACNAAGCAGUGAACUUAAGCCCCAGUAAACGGCGGCCGUAACUAUAACGGUCCUAAGGUAGCGAAAUUCCUUGUCGGGUAAGUUCCGACCCGCACGAAAGGCGUAACGAUUUGGGCACUGUCUCAACAACAGACUCGGUGAAAUUGUAAUUCCGGUGAAGAUGCCGGAUACCUGCGACAGGACGGAAAGACCCCAUGGAGCUUUACUGUAGCUUGACAUUGGGUCUUGGUACUACAUGUACAGGAUAGGUGGGAGGCUUUGAAACCAGGACGCCAGUUUUGGCGGAGCCAUCCUUGGGAUACCACCCUUGUAGUACUGGGACUCUAACCAUAGGCCAUGAAUCUGGUCUUGGGACACUGUCAGGUGGGCAGUUUGACUGGGGCGGUCGCCUCCCAAAAGGUAACGGAGGCGCUCAAAGGUUCUCUCAGUACGGUCGGAAAUCGUACGUAGAGUGUAAAGGCAAAAGAGAGCUUGAUUGCAAGACAUACAGGUCGAGCAAGGAUGAAAAUCGGACUUAGUGAUCCGGUGGUUCUGCGUGGAAGGGCCAUCGCUCAACGGAUAAAAGCUACCCUGGGGAUAACAGGCUUAUCUCCCCCAAGAGUCCACAUCGACGGGGAGGUUUGGCACCUCGAUGUCGGCUCAUCACAUCCUGGGGCUGUAGUAGGUCCCAAGGGUUGGGCUGUUCGCCCAUUAAAGUGGUACGCGAGCUGGGUUCAGAACGUCGUGAGACAGUUCGGUCCCUAUCCGUCGCAGGCGUAGGAAAUUUGAGAAGACCUGUCCUUAGUACGAGAGGACCGGGAUGGACGUACCUCUGGUGUACCAGUUGUCCUGCCAAGGGCAUGGCUGGGUAGCUAUGUACGGAAUGGAUAAGCGCUGAAAGCAUCUAAGCGCGAAGCCAACUUCAAGAUAAGAUUUCCCACCGCAAGGGUAAGACCCCAGAAAGACUAUCUGGUUGAUAGGUCGAAGGUGUAAGUGCAGCAAUGUAUUUAGCUUAUCGAUACUAAUAGGUCGAGGACUUGACCAA